rnacentral:lncRNA from 1 species
CAACUGCUACAUCAUGUAUAAAAUCAACAUCGCUAAAUUAAAAACAUGAGUGAUCACUAUCAAGGAUUCCGAAGGUUUCAUUAGUAUUUCUAGGUUGGCCACUAUUUUGAACUUGUUUAUCUUUUCUAGGUCGGGGAACCGGGGGAGGGGUAGUAUUUUGGCGACUACUUUCACCGGUUUUAUUUUUUCCUUUUCCGAACAUAUUUUUCAAUGAAAAUGCCAUAUUAAUUAUAAUU